UGGGGAAUUUUGGACAAUGGGGGAAACCCUGAUCCAGCCAUCCCGCGUGUGCGAUGAAGGCCUUCGGGUUGUAAAGCACUUUUGGCAGGAAAGAAACGUCGCGGGUUAAUACCCCGCGAAACUGACGGUACCUGCAGAAUAAGCACCGGCUAACUACGUGCCAGCAGCCGCGGUAAUACGUAGGGUGCAAGCGUUAAUCGGAAUUACUGGGCGUAAAGCGUGCGCAGGCGGUUCGGAAAGAAAGAUGUGAAAUCCCAGAGCUUAACUUUGGAACUGCAUUUUUAACUACCGGGCUAGAGUGUGUCAGAGGGAGGUGGAAUUCCGCGUGUAGCAGUGAAAUGCGUAGAUAUGCGGAGGAACACCGAUGGCGAAGGCAGCCUCCUGGGAUAACACUGACGCUCAUGCACGAAAGCGUGGGGAGCAAACAGGAUUAGAUACCCUGGUAGUCCACGCCCUAAAACGAUGUCAACUAGCUGUUGGGGCCUUCGGGCCUUGGUAGCGCAGCUAACGCGUGAAGUUGACCGCCUGGGGAGUACGGUCGCAAGAUUAAAACUCAAA
rnacentral:rRNA from 1 species